GAUGAACGCUGGCGGCGUGCCUAAUACAUGCAAGUCGAGCGAACGGACGAGAAGCUUGCUUUUCUGAUGUUAGCGGCGGACGGGUGAGUAACACGUGGAUAACCUACCUAUAAGACUGGGAUAACUUCGGGAAACCGGAGCUAAUACCGGAUAAUAUUUUGAACCGCAUGGUUCAAAAGUGAAAGACGGUCUUUCUGUCACUUAUAGAUGGAUCCGCGCUGCAUUAGCUAGUUGGUAAGGUAACGGCUUACCAAGGCAACGAUGCAUAGCCGACCUGAGAGGGUGGUCGGCCACACUGGAACUGAGACACCGUCCAGACUCCUACGGGAGGCAGCAGUAGGGAAUCUUCCGCAAUGGGCGAAAGCCUGACGGAGCAACGCCGCGUGAGUGAUGAAGGUCUUCGGAUCGUAAAACUCUGUUAUUAGGGAAGAACAUAUGUGUAAGUAACUGUGCACAUCUUGACGGUACCUAAUCAGAAAGCCACGGCUAACUACGUG
rnacentral:rRNA from 1 species